ACUAGACCAGGUUACUCAGAACCCCAUCCAGCCUGGUCUUGAACGCUUCCAGGGAUGGGGAGUUCCCAGCCUUUGUGUGCAGAGGUUUUGGAACACAGAUGCUCACAGAAGUGUGUUAAAUGGAUUACGCUUCCAUUAUUUUAACUUGUUUAUUUGCAACAUGAGAACAGCAUGAAGUAAACACCUGGGAAGUUUCAACUGGAAAAGAUCAGAUGUUCUUCAGUUAUAAAGGCACAAAAAUAGCAUCUUUUUAGAACAAGCACAUAAAAAAAAAGUUCAGAAAA